UACGGAGGGUGCGAGCGUUAAUCGGAAUUACUGGGCGUAAAGCGCACGCAGGCGGUUUGUUAAGCUAGAUGUGAAAGCCCCGGGCUCAACCUGGGAUGGUCAUUUAGAACUGGCAGACUAGAGUCUUGGAGAGGGGAGUGGAAUUCCAGGUGUAGCGGUGAAAUGCGUAGGUAUCUGGAGGAACAUCAGUGGCGAAGGCGACUCCCUGGCCAAAGACUGACGCUCAUGUGCGAAAGUGUGGGUAGCGAACAGG
rnacentral:rRNA from 1 species